rnacentral:rRNA from 1 species
GACGAACGCUGGCGGCGGGCUUAACACAUGCAAGUCGAACGGAAAGGCCCUGCUUUUGUGGGGUGCUCGAGUGGCGAACGGGUGAGUAACACGUGAGUAACCUGCCCUUGACUUUGGGAUAACUUCAGGAAACUGGGGCUAAUACCGGAUAGGAGCUCCUGCUGCAUGGUGGGGGUUGGAAAGUUUCGGCGGUUGGGGAUGGACUCGCGGCUUAUCAGCUUGUUGGUGGGGUAGUGGCUUACCAAGGCUUUGACGGGUAGCCGGCCUGAGAGGGUGACCGGCCACAUUGGGACUGAGAUACGGCACAGACUCCUACGGGAGGCAGCAGUGGGGAAUAUUGCACAAUGGGCGGAAGCCUGGUGCAGCAACGCCGCGUGCGGGAUGACGGCCUUCGGGUUGUAAACCGCUUUCGCCUGUGACGAAGCGUGAGUGACGGUAAUGGGUAAAGAAGCACCGGCUAACUACGUG